rnacentral:rRNA from 1 species
UACGUAGGGGGCAAGCGUUGUCCGGAUUUAUUGGGCGUAAAGAGCGUGUAGGCGGCCAAGCAGGUCCGCUGUGAAAACUCGAGGCUCAACCUCGAGACGUCGGUGGAAACCGUUUGGCUAGAGUCCGGAAGAGGAGAGUGGAAUUCCCGGUGUAGCGGUGAAAUGCGCAGAUAUCGGGAAGAACACCAAUGGCGAAGGCAGCUCGCUGGGACGUGACUGACGCUGAGACGCGAAAGCGUGGGGAGCAAACAGG